UGCUGCAUGGCUGUCGUCAGCUCGUGUCGUGAGAUGUUGGGUUAAGUCCCGCAACGAGCGCAACCCUUGUCAUUAGUUGCUACGAAAGGGCACUCUAAUGAGACUGCCGGUGACAAACCGGAGGAAGGUGGGAUGACGUCAAGUCCUCAUGGCCCUUAUAGGUGGGGCUACACACGUCAUACAAUGGCUGGUACAAAGGGUUGCCAACCCGCGAGGGGGAGCCAAUCCCAUAAAGCCAGUCGUAGUCCGGAUCGCAGUCUGCAACUCGACUGCGUGAAGUCGGAAUCGCUAGUAAUCGUGGAUCAGCAUGUCACGGUGAAUACGUUCCCGGGUCUU
rnacentral:rRNA from 1 species